ensembl:snRNA U6 U6 spliceosomal RNA
GUGCUUGGUUCGGUAGCACAUAUACUAAAAUUGGAAUGAUACAGAGAAGAUUAGCAUGGCCCAUACUCAAGGAUAACACAAAUUCGUGAAGCAUUUCAUAUUUUU